AUGGCCCUGGCUUCCUCACCAUGCACGAACCUCAAUGGCGCCGCCGCCCUAAGGUUCGCCACCGGUCGCCUCAUCCUCCAGAUUUGGGCCGCAAGCACCAAGUACCCUUUGGAUACGCCAAGGUCGACUAUGCUUGAUGAGGCGACAAGUACCUCCACCGAUGACUCGAACGUCUACGAACCAUAUACGACUACCGUCGCCAAAGGCCGUCGAGUGAACAACCACCACCGCUGUGAGUUCGACAAGAAAACGUGUGUACCACUACCGUCGGCCUUCGAAGACUCCGUGGGCAUCAAGUUCUUCGCUGUGACCCCAAACAUUAACGAAAUGCGAAUGACUAUUUGCCACGAUGAUCCGUGA
rnacentral:rRNA from 1 species